ensembl:snRNA U6 U6 spliceosomal RNA
GUGCUCACGUCGGCAGGACAUAUACUAAACCUGAUGAAACAGAGAAGAUUAUUAUGGUCCCUGUGCAAAGAAGGCAUGCAAAUUUGUGAAGUGUUCUGUAUUUCU